rnacentral:rRNA from 1 species
GACGAACGCUGGCGGCGUGCUUAACACAUGCCAGUCGAACGGAAAGGCCCUGCUUUUGUGGGGUGCUCGAGUGGCGAACGGGUGAGUAACACGUGAGUAACCUGUCCCUGACUUUGGGAUAACUUCAGGAAACUGGGGCUAAUACCGGAUAGGAUCUCCUGCUGCAUGGGGGGGGUUGGAAAGUGUCGGCGGUGGUGGAUGGACUGGCAGGUUAUCAGCUUGUUGGGGGGGUAGGGGCUUACCAAGGCUUUGAAGGGUAGGCGGCCUGAGAGGGGUGCCGGCGACAAUGGGACUACGAGAGGGCGCAGAAGCCUACGGGCCGCAGCAGUGGGGAGUAUUACGCAAUAGGCGCAAGCCUGAUGCGGAGGCGCCCGGUGCGGAAAGACGGCCUUCGGGUUAUGAACCGCUGUCGCCUGUGCCAUGGCGUGAGUGACGGUAAUGAGUAAAGAAGCCCCGGCUAACUACGUG